rnacentral:rRNA from 1 species
GUGCCAGCCGCAGCGGUAAUACGUAGGUGGCGAGCGUUAUCCGGAAUUAUUGGGCGUAAAGGGAGCGUAGGCGGUUUAUUAAGUCUAAGGUGAAAGUUCGGGGCUCAACCCCGUGAUGCCUUAGAAACUGGUAGACUUGAGUACAGGAGAGGUGAGUGGAAUUCCAUGUGUAGCGGUAAAAUGCGUAGAUAUAUGGAGGAACACCAGUGGCGAAGGCGGCUCACUGGCCUGUAACUGACGCUGAGGCUCGAAAGCGUGGGGAGCAAAUAGGAUUAGAUACCCUAGUAGUCCACGCCGUAAACGAUGGAUACUAAGUGUUGGACGGAAGCUCAGUGCUGCAGUUAACGCAAUAAGUAUCCCGCCUGGGGAGUAUGCGCGCAAGCGUAAAACUCAAAGGAAUUGACGGGGCCCGCACAAGCGGUGGAGUAUGUGGUUAAUUCGAAGCAACGCGAAGAACCUUACCAGGUCUUGACAUACCACGCAAAAGCACAGAAGAUGUGUAAUAGUUAUGGUGGAUACAGGUGGUGC